rnacentral:rRNA from 1 species
UACGUAGGGCGCAAGCGUUGUCCGGAAUUAUUGGGCGUAAAGAGCUCGUAGGCGGUUUGUCGCGUCUGCUGUGAAAACCUAAGGCUCAACCUUGGGCUUGCAGUGGGUACGGGCAGACUAGAGUGCGGUAGGGGUGACUGGAAUUCCUGGUGUAGCGGUGGAAUGCGCAGAUAUCAGGAGGAACACCGAUGGCGAAGGCAGGUCACUGGGCCG